GUUCCUCUGGCGUAAUGGCAACGCGUUCGGCUUCUAUUCGUGUUCUACCGUCCAACGGGUAGGGACCGAAAGAUUCUCGGUUCGAGUCCGGGGAGGAACG
rnacentral:tRNA from 1 species